rnacentral:rRNA from 1 species
CAAUACCAACCCACUGUCCGCCAGAGAACUACAAGUGAAAAACUUAAAACUCAAAGGACUUGACGGUGCCCCAUAUCACCCUAGAGGAGCCUGUCCUAUAAUCGAUAACCCACGCUCUACCUCACCCGCCCUCGCACGCAAGUUCAGCCUAUAUACCGCCGCCCCCAGCCUACCUUACAAAAGCACCCCUAGCAGGCAUAACAGUCACCACUAAGACGUCAGGUCAAGGUGUAGCUAAUGGGCGGGAAAGAGAUGGGCUACAUUUCCUGCUUCCCAGGAAACCCACCAACAA